UACGAAGGGGACUAGCGUUGUUCGGAAUCACUGGGCGUAAAGCGCACGUAGGCGGAUAUGUCAGUCAGGGGUGAAAUCCCGGGGCUCAACCUCGGAACUGCCUUUGAUACAGCAUGUCUUGAGUCCGAUAGAGGUGGGUGGAAUUCCUAGUGUAGAGGUGAAAUUCGUAGAUAUUAGGAAGAACACCGGUGGCGAAGGCGGCCCACUGGAUCGGUACUGACGCUGAGGUGCGAAAGCGUGGGGAGCAAACAGGG
rnacentral:rRNA from 1 species